GUACCAGGAGAGCUCAAGUAGGGAGAAGAGCGAAUGCUUAUAGAGCCCCUACUGUGUGCCUGACAGCGCGUGAAUCGUUUACAUCUUAAUACAAGAUCUCAGAUAUUUGCAACAAUUUUAUGAGAUGAGGAACCCUACGCAUAAAGAGAUGAAGUAACUUGCCCGAGGGCACACAGUUUGCAACUGGCAAAGUUAACCUGCAAAGAUUCUUCUUGCUGCACCUCCACUAUGGUUUUUAAGUAUCUAUGUCAACGGACCUCUGCUAUUAAAUACCUGGACAAAGAUUAAUGCCACACCGAUUUCAAUGUACAGUAGAAUGAGCUGGGAGGGUAAUAGAGAAGAAUCACAGAAUUACCUAUGUGUGCUAGAAUGGACUUUGGUGAUCAUGUAGUUUUACUUCCUUCUUUUAUAGAUGAGGAAACGGGCCAAGAAAAAAAUUUAGAUGCCUUAACAAGCUGAAUGAGAGAAAAUUAAAGUCCAAACCCUGGGAGAGGUAAAGCCUUCCUUGGGCAGGAUGGGGCCUUGACCUCUAACCCUCAGAGGUACAGGUUUGUGGCUUUAUUAGUACAACUUGUGACGAGUGAUGCUACUAUUAUUAUUUAACAUUCAUAGCAUACUCGCACGUGCAUAUUGUUAUUUGUAUAAUUAUAAGAGUCUCUACAGUGAACUUUUAAUUUAAACAAAGUAGAGAACUGAUCGUCAUAAAGUCAUCUGAACUGGAAACCGGAUCCUCUCAGGUUUCCCUGAAUUUGUUCGGUUGUUUGGAUUUCGUGUCAUAUGUGAUCAGCCUCCUAGCAUAUUUAUUCUGGCAACGGAAGGGGUGGGGUGUGAGAGAGAUCUCUUGGAGACGUUUUCAUCGAAAACUUGGUGUUACAUGUGUAAGUCUUAUUUCUCGAGCACUUUCAGAGAGCAAAGCAAAUCUCAGAAAAUGUGAUGCUUAUUGCUUUUCCGUUUUUCCGCUCUAAGAUGACUUCGGAGUUUUUUGGUAUUGUUCGUUUUUUCCCGUUUUUAGAUCUCUCCCCGACCUCUCAUCACCGCCGGUGUCUAUCUAUCCUUCCAGUCUUCUACAUCCUUUGUUCGGUUCCCUAGUUGUUUGGUAUGAAACUCCCUUCAAGCCAGAGUGUUGGGUAUGUUGCUCUCUAAUUUUUUUUUUUUCCAGAGUAAUUUUCCCAAUAUAAAUUAUACCCUCAAUUACUUUUCUCUCCCUGGAGCAGUGAAUCACAUUCUAAGAAGCCGUUAGGGCGGAGACAGCUGGAUACAGAGCCGGGGGAGGUUGAGCCAGUGCCGGCUUGUCACCCUCGUUCUCUGUUCACCCUGCUGCAGCGGCCGAGUGCAGCCUUGUGCUGAAGUUACCAGCAACGAAGGGUCUUCAGUGCCCAUUCCUCUACACCAUGUGCUCUGGACACCGAUGUGAAGGAGAGACUGUGCUUUAAAGCGCUGGCCUGUGCUUGGAGGCAAGAAGAAUCUAAGCUAAUCUAAGUUGGCUUGAUAUUCGAAAACUAGGUAGAUUGCAUAAGUGCCCCCAGUCUUCAUCUCUCCCUGUAUUACUUCGUUCUGCCAUGUGACUUUACAGUUUUCUGAUCAACAGAUAAACCACUGAUUGUGACCACGUCGCCUACUUUGGCCAACAAAGUUAGCAGAGGUGAUACAAGCGGAGGCUUGGAAGCGUGCUUGCAUCACUGGACUCGUUCUCUUGCAUCUUUACUAUUUCUACAAGAAGAGCACGCCUGGGCUGGCCCACUUGUUCCAGGAUGGGAAUGAGAAAUAUGUGGGGCAGAGCUGCCCCAAGGAAGCUGCCCCAGACCAGACCAGCCCAGCCCAGCCUAGAACAGAACCGUCCAGCUGACCCAGAGAUGCAUGAACACACCUAGCCAAGAGCGGCAGGUCUGCUAGCCAACCUUCACAUGAGCUGCAGGUGCAGUGUCUGGAGUGGGAAGUGAUUGUUGUUUUAUGCCUCUGAAUUUUGAGGUGGUUUGCUCCCUAGCAAUUGCAAUGAGGUCAUGCCCUCUGAAACUAUUAUGAUGCUUAGAUGAACAACUACAAACAAAAGCACUUUGCCAAUGUAAAACUGUGGGGAGUAAGCAUAAGGGAUUGGACCAUUGAACAAGCUCUGAACCUGGAACCUAAAGACCUGAGUUCAAGUCCCCAAUCACCCUAUAAACUUGUGCAGGUGAUUUAAAUUUUCUGGGUCUUAUAAAAUUACAGAGCUGGCUUGCUGACUCAAAACCAUGAGGGCUUGAGAGGAUGUUAGAAAAUUAAUAUGGGUCUUAGGACUUCAUUGGUAGAGAGUUAAGAAAAGAGAUGGGGAUGGCAGGAGAGAGGUCAGAGGAUAUUUUAUCUGAGUAUAAAUAAAAUGGGAUACCCAUAAAAGAGGUACGUGGAGUGAGAAAUUGGGUGAUUUUGAAGAAUGUGUUUGAUCUAAGGCUGAGAGGUAGACUUGGAGGCCACAUAUAAAAUAAAGUCUCCUUUCUUUAGAGACCUGAAAGUAUGGGAUAUGUGAAUAAGGGAGGAGAAAAGCCUUGAAAACGGCUUAUAGAAGGCACCUUUCUGACAUCUCUUCGCUUGGAAUAAAGCAAAGUUGGGGACAAUUAUAAAGUCUCUGGUCAGAUGAAGAGCUAGUAGUUCAAACUGGCAGUUCGAUAUAUUUGUAAGAACUCUCCCUUAGCAAUCUUUAACUUUUCUUGGUUGUGUAUUACUUGACUUUAGAUAAGUCAUCUAUCGUAUGGACAAGUAGAUGAAAUAUGUUUCAUUCAUUCAUUAUGUCUUGAACAGGCUACAUUCCUGGAACUGCUCUAGACACUGGGGAUGAAACAGUAAUCAGACAUGGUUUCUGAGCUGGCUACCUACUCAGGCAGGGGGAUUUUUCAUACAUUGUCAUUCAUGUCAAAAUAUAUACUACUAGAUCCUUUUUCAGAGGCAAAGAUUAUAGCUCAGGGAGGUUAAGUGGCUUGUCCAAAGUCACACAGCUUGUAAGAGAAAGUUAAAAAAUAAUGCCUUUUGGUGCUAGAGUCUGUCUUGUUUCUACUGAACUAUGCUGUAUCCUCUUGUUCAUCGUUUGAUUUUAUUUACAAAAAUGUCAUUUUUGUAUUGUUUUUAGGAGUACAGUAGAGUUAGGUGCUUAACUUUUUGUUGUUGUUCCAUAGAGAAGUAUGUGAUUUAUAAGUCAAAGGAUCAAGUUCUCAGUUUCUAGGACUUUGGAAGUAGGUUUCUCUAUUGAAUAAGGACAAAGCUUAUAUGUACAAAAAUAAGGUAAUGUGUUAAUCAAGUAUGGUCUUCUCAAUGGAAUACUUUGAAAACAUUAAAUAUAAUCGCUAUUAGACUUUAUAGGUGAGAGUGAAGUUGUCAUAGCUCCUCGAGGAUGGCAAUCUGAAAAUAUAAUUCAAAACUACAAAUGAACAUGCCUUUUGUUCUAACAAUUUUAGCUUAAGGGACUUAUCCUACGGAAAUAUUCUAAAUAUUCUACAAUUGUACAAAAUUAUUCAGAGCAGCAUUCCCCCCGCUCCCAGCAAUUUAUUAGUAAUAACCUAACUGGCCGUCAAUAAGGAACAGCUAAAUAAGUUAUGAUACUUCCUUAGGAUGGAAUAGCAUGCAGCCGUGAAGAAGGAAGGGGAGACAAAGGAAGAGGAACAGGAGGAGAUUCCUUAUGUGUUCACCAGGAUGUCUUUUUAAGAGACGAUGAGCUGCACCUAACAUGCUGCUGUGUCCACGGAGAAAUCAUAAAUGUAAACCCACUUCCAGAAAGCAAAGACUAAAGGGAAUUUGAAGAGAUGUAAACUGAAAACACAGCUCUCCGGACCCCUGGGAGGUCGCUGUGCAGUAGGGACA